UACAGAGGGUGCGAGCGUUAAUCGGAAUUACUGGGCGUAAAGCGUGCGUAGACGGUUAUUUAAGUCGGGUGUGAAAGCCCCGGGCUCAACCUGGGAAUUGCAUUCGAGACUGAAUAGCUAGGGUACGGUAGAAGGAAGUGGAAUUUCCGGUGUAGCGGUGAAAUGCGUAGAUAUCGGAAGAACAUCAGUGGCGAAAGCGACUUCCUGGACCAGUACCGACGUCAGGCACGAAAGCCGUGGG
rnacentral:rRNA from 1 species